CAUAGGUUAAUGAGGCGAACCGGGGGAACUGAAACAUCUAAGUACCCCGAGGAAAAGAAAUCAACCGAGAUUCCCCCAGUAGCGGCGAGCGAACGGGGAGGAGCCCAGAGCCUGAAUCAGUGUGUGUGUUAGUGGAAGCGUCUGGAAAGGCGCGCGAUACAGGGUGACAGCCCCGUACACAAAAAUGCACAUACUGUGAGCUCGAUGAGUAGGGCGGGACACGUGGUAUCCUGUCUGAAUAUGGGGGGACCAUCCUCCAAGGCUAAAUACUCCUGACUGACCGAUAGUGAACCAGUACCGUGAGGGAAAGGCGAAAAGAACCCCGGCGAGGGGAGUGAAAAAGAACCUGAAACCGU
rnacentral:rRNA from 1 species